AGGAGUGCGGGACAAAUGGAGCGGGGUGGGGGUGGGGAAGGGGAGGAGCGGUGGCGGGGGGAGACGUUUAAUAGGCAGCGUGAGACUCCAGCCCGCACCGAAGAGCGGGGCGACGGCUGUCACCCGCCAAGACUCGGCCGGCACAACCCGACUGCCGCGCACCGGCCGGGGUCGGCAGGCCGGCCGGUAGACCUGAGGUUUUACAAAAGAGACGAACUGUUCUACUUCUUCUAGGUUUAUUCCAGUUUUUUCUAUAAAUCAAAACAUCUCAAAAUGGAGGCCUAAAACUCUUAAAAGGGACUUAGUCUAAUCUCCGGGAGGUGGUUUUGUGCAUGAAUAAACAAAGUAGUUAACAGGAGUUUUUGGUAUCCAAAGAAUAUUAAUUUUUAAAAUAUGAUCUGGUUAUAAGAGGUAUAACUAUAAAGUAAUAAUAAGUUUGAUUCUGAAUUUGAUUUGUGGACAUAAAGAAAUUAUUGUAGCUGGGACAUAUUGUUGAACUACUUUUUUCAAAGUUGGCCAGGCAGUCUCCCACUGGCUGCUGUGUAGAAUAGAAAAAAGUACCUGUGUUUGGUAAAGAUUUAAAAAUGAGUGACAGUUAUCUAGAACAAAGAGUUAAUAUUCAACCCUCUGCUAAAUUAGAGAAACAUGCAUAUAAAACCUUUGGCAUGUUAAAUGAUUUCUGCAAUGACAAAGAAAUGUCAAGAACAAAACUUUUUGAUAGGUACAACAAAUUUAGAGCAAGUAUGAAAGAUAAACGUGAUGAUUGGUAAAGAAAUUAACCAUUUAUAAGACUUGAUAUUUUGAAAGUCAAAACUUUAGUUUGUUCAAAUGGGCUGUUAUUUCUGAGAAUAAUUAGAAUGAGAAUGGUGACUGGAUGGUUACAUUUUGGUAAAUGAACAAACUUAUUCCAAAAGAAAAUUCACAUAGAGACAGUAGUAACACCAAGAAUGAAAGGAAUACUGAAGUUAGACAUAAUAAUUCACCUCUGAGGGCAAUUAUCACUGGUAUUUAGAUAUGUUUCUUCUCCCACCUGGAAAUAAAGCAUUGAAGUCUGCAGUAAAAAGCCCCAACAUAUGUGGGACCCAGGAAGCAUGCUUGCAAAACACUUCUAGAAAAAAAACCAUGUUGACUUGUUUAUUGGUUAUUACUGACAUUAUUGACACAGAACCUACUUACUAAUAGCUACUUAUAAUUGAGAAAUUCUGAAUUUUGAGAUCUCUGCUGUUCAAAAGAAGUGGAUUGUGACAAAAUAAAUUUAUUAUUUUUUGUCAUGAUAAAUUCUGGUUCAAGGUAUGCUAUCUGUGAAAUAAUUUCUGACCAAAGCCAGAUUUUUUUAUCCAUCUUUUUUUUUUGAUUAUUUAUCUUAGCUUGCAGACUCAGCACUCUGACUUUUGACUGUUUUUAAAAGUAAAUCCAUUAUCAGGAGAUUUGAUGUUGGUUCUCAACAGCAUGAAGCUGAGUCUAAAAGACCAAGUGAGCAAAUAUAUUCAUCCCUGAUAAUUUAUUUGAAAUGCAAUGUUUAAUUUGCUAAGAUCUAGUGGUAUUGCUAUGACUAAGCAAUCAGGUACCUAUCUAUGGGAAGUAAUUAUUAUUUAAAAAAUCUUGAAACCAGGUCUUGAGAUGUAUGAACCAAUUCUGUUACUACUUAAGCUCUUUAUUUGGAAGAAAAUUUUGAAUUGUUUUGUUCUCCCUAAUAAAAUGGUUGUAGGAAGAAAAAUUAAUUUGAGCAAGAUUUUGGAUAGACUGUAUUUCAUUGAAUCUAAGAUGUCAUCAUUUGUAAAGCACACCAUUAUUUUAUGUACCUCUAAGAAAUAAAAAUGCUGUUAAUUAAAAUAUGACAUGCCAUUCAUUAAUUGUAAGAUACCGUCCAUAGCAGAGAUAUUAAAACAUGCAUCUUAGAAUCAGUGAAAUAUGAUAGCCCAUUCUUUUCCUCUUUCGAGGUAGGUCUUAUGCUUUUUUUUUCUGGCUACUAAAUUUCACAAUUUAAAAAAAGCAAACUAAACAUAGUUUGAAUAUUUUUGUGUGUAUAGAACACUUACACAGCAUAGCUUUCCGCCAAAACAAACUAGCUAUGUGAGACAUUUUUUCUUCAGGCUGACUAGAUGUCACUGAAGCAUACUAGUGGAGAGGGUGACCUACCUGUGGAGAUAUCUGACACUAAAUGGCAUCUUGAUGACAUAAAGCACUCUACACUUUUAUGAAGGGUUUUAAUUUUCAUCACAAGGUACUGUGUAGCAUCAUGUUUACAUUGUAUGCAAGAGUAUACAAAGGUGCAGGUACAUAAUUGGCCCUUAAAAUGUAUCAGUAUAGGAUUUAGAAUCUUGCCAUGCUAUAACCCUAAAUGCAUAGAAGAAAAAAGAAUGAAAUAUUUCCUGUUCUAAGUGUUCAAUCUAGUACUAAAAUUAAUAAAAAUCAAAACCCAUGCACAAAACUACCUCCCCAGAGAAAGGCUAGUCCCUUU
ensembl:lncRNA